GUAAGUGUCAGGUGCUGUGCCAAAAUGUUUUCAAACAUCAUUUUACUUAAUGCUAACAACAAAAAUGAUACAAAUGCUGUCACUCCAUUUUAGUAGAUGUGAAUUUUGCUUGUGAACAUUAUACAAUUUGCUCAUGAUUGAACAGUUGUGUUGCUGGGAGUCAAUCCUGGUCUGACUCCAAAAGUUCUCCAACAGUGGUUGCCCCUGUCGCCGCUGCUCUAUUUCAAGCCUAAAUGACAGCAAUGCGUUGUCCCUGGCAAGUGGGAAAUGAGGACGAGGGGAUGAUGGCUGAGUUUCAUCCUGGGCUCCUUUGAGUUUGAGGAGCCUGUAGAACAUCUAGUUGGAAAUAUUCUUCAUAAACUGUUAGCAAUCCUAUCUGUUCCAUGUAAAUUACUUUUCUCCCUGUUGCUUAAGUAGGAUAUAUGUGAUCAUAAUGCAGAAUUUGCUUUGGUUCAUAAGCAGAUUUUCCCAGCACAUUAAUGUUUUCCCAGCACAAAGCAGCUGCCCCUGAACAUAGUGUGCAGGAACUCAGCUAAAUGAGUGCUAUACAUGAUGUUCACUCACGCCAGUGUGUUCAAGGCCGCAUGCUCUUCCUGAGAAGUGCGUCUCUCUCCCUUUUGUUUAUUUUGACGUGUUUCCAUAAUUUAGCAGACUCAACCCUUCUUAAACUACCGUAAAAUUACCUUUAUUGUUUUUAAAGCUAAAUCCUACAUUUUCUGGAAUAUUUCUCUCUCUAUUGGGAAUUUUAUAUCUCUUUUAAACUGCUAGCCAUUUUUAUUGGACUUGUGAUUGUUUUGUUAGUGCUCUGGUACAAGGUAACAGCUUUUAGUGGUUCACUCCAGCCAUAGUUUUCUCUUAAGACCUGUUAUAUUUAGUGCAUGAUUCUGCAGAAUAUGAAGUGUCUUUGGUCACACAUAUAUUGUGUUAUAGAAGAAACACUCGAAUGAAUUGGACACAUAAGAGAAAUGUCAAGAUUGAUACAUAAAUUUGGAAGAAAUCCCCAUAAAGGUGGAAGCUGAAGGAGUGGCAGUAAGCCCCUCAUGGAGAGAAUGAGAAGAGGAAAAGCUCGACCAUAGACUCUGGAGACAUUUGCAGGAGAGACAGAGGAAGAAAGGGUCAACGGGAGAGAACUGGUCCUUCUGAGCUCCUUUGUUGCUCGUAUUAUUUAUUCAACAAGUAUUUACUAGGCUUUGUUCUUAAAGGGGAGGAGAUUGUGAAAAUAGCCUAGUUUCUUCAUUUAUGCAGUUUUUUUUUUUUUUAAAGAUUGGCACCUGAGCUAACAACUGUUGCCAAUCUUCCUUUUUUUUUCCUUCUGCUUUUUCUCCCCAAAUCCCCCAAGUACAUAGUUGUAUACUUUAGUUGUGGGUCCUUCUAGUUGUUUAUGCAGUUUUAAAUUUUAAAAUAAGCAUAUAUUCUAUAAAUGCUAUCAUUAAAUCAGAUUGUCCUGAAUUUUUCACCAGUCCCAUGUGAAAUCCAUUCCCACCCAAAAGGGACCGGAAGCUCUGCCUUCAACUUCCUGUGGGAUCUGGAAGAGAAGCAUAGCUGGCUCCAAGUGGUCUUGAAUUUCCCUGGUUCCAAAGGCAGAAAUUGGGAUACUGUGCUCCCCUGAUUCAUUUUCCAGUCUGUACUUGCCAGGCGUAAACACCUUGAAGUCAGUCACCACUUCGUUGUCAAUUAGCCAAGAAACACAACAGAGCAGCAGAGCUGGUGGAUUCCGGGCCCCUCUUGGUUUUCUUGGUGAAGCAGAUCAUUAAAGCGAAUGUUCCAUGUCUGCAUCAAUCUGUCCAUAGAAGAUAGGUAAACAGAGCUGAUAAAAUGAACAAGCACAGUUUCAUGUCACCGAGCUCAUCGUGAGGUGGUUAUGCUUUGCCUACCAGGUGGCGUCAGUGAUGCCAACCGUGCACAGCCACAUGCUGAGAAAGGCUGAGAUUCCCCCGCUUCCUGAAAGCUAACAAGGGAGCCGCUCACAGUCUGAAGUAGUAGAAAUACAAGACUCACGGGUCAGAGACAAAGACUAAGCAAGAGCAGAAACAGAGUACUGGCAUUUGGACUGAUUGCUCCAGUCUCAGUUCCUACGAGGCAAUGAAAAGAGGACCAGCUGAGCUGCACGUCCACGGGAUGACAUCACAGGAGAAGAGUGAAAUGAGUUUAUCAAAAUCAAUUUUUUGAUGCCCAAAGGGAGUCACUGUCUCUGUCUUCAGAGGAUUUUCAUACUUGAAAAGAUAGUUGGGAAUAAAGGGAAACAGUUUCUCACUCAGAAAAUUUGAAGGGAAGAGACUCAUGGAGACUUGCCCCCAACUAUCGCUCCCUUGUUUCUAUCCCAACAUCGCGCCUUCUGAGGAACUUCCCUAUGAACUUACUGUCCUCGUAGACAGCGCUGUCCUCCACCUUUUCCCUCAGCGCACGCCAGUGAGCUCAACGGCCCUGGGCAUGUUGGCCACGACCUCUGAGAUAUCCGCCUCUGAGACAGACAUGCAGCUUGUGAAACACUUUCCUGCAACCACUUCCUGCAACAGAAGCAGGGGCGCAGCCCUCAGAGCAGCGUGCCAGCAGGGCCAGUGGUGGACCUGGCAUUCCUGGGGGAGGAGGCUGGGACUGGACCCCCGGAGGCCCUGCACCCCUGGAGGCCCAGCGGCCAUCUCGUUCCCUGUCCAAAUGGGACACUCAGUACCCUGUGCCUUCAGGCCAGGUGUGUCCCAGCUGGGCUACCGUCUCCCAAAAGAGUCUCAGGAACUCUCCGCAGUAGAACUCGUUUUGCUGCCUGAGCAUCCUCCGCUCUGUGAGAAAGUCCUGCUGGUUCAUCAUCAAAGGGCCACAAAUCUGACGUUUCACACCGCUGUAACCAACGUCUGCCUGCAACUGCCAUGCUCUCACCCCAGGGGCUUAGGGCAGCCACCUCCCUGCCUCUGCCUCUCCCAAAGUCUCCUCUCAGAAAGAAAAGAAUUAUUAUUUCCUAUGUUGCUCAUAAUAAUUAAUCUGAUCAACAAAGAAACUGGGACAAAAUCUGUUAAAUCUGUCUCAUGCAGCGUUAACUGCCCCUUCCACCAACGUGGCCACGGGCAGCAGGGGGAGACCCAGCUGCGCUGUUGACCUGUCAUGGCCCCAGGGUCAUGACCCAAUCACCUGAACAAAGCCUUAAACCCUCAGGGUUUCCUUAGAAAACCCAGUGUCUUCCUAUUUAAUUUCUGUCCUCAUCUUUCCACUUAGCCAGGGCCUUAAUCCAGAUACAGCAGGAUGUGUUCACGUUGGGGAAACACCACCUUGACGCACAAAGAGGUCUAGGCCAGUCCUGUCAUCAAAAACAACCCUGGGCAGAGUGUUGAGGCUGACCUGAAAGUCCUCCACAGCUGAAGUGGUGCCAUUGAUUGCAUCACCUAAAAUCAGGGAGAGUUUAUACCACACAUUCUAAUUGGGUAAUUCUCACAAUAGGGAUCACUUCCCAAAGGGCAUGUAAAUAGAACAAGUCAGCCUUUCUGGAUAGCAAGCUCCUCCUAGUAACCAAGGAUAGCUUCAGUCACCUGAGGGCCAGAGCCAGUAUUGCCUUCAAGUUAUCUGGUCUCUUAUGGUCUUGUAUGGCCAUCCCUAAGGCACCAGCCACCGUGUUCCAGGAGUGAGUCAAGUUAAUGCCUGGCUUCCACAGCCUGUCUGGUCGGUAUACUUUAGGGUUCUCAGUUCAGACCAAAUAAUUAAGUCCAGAAAAUGGAGUGGGCAGGAAAACAAAUAAAUAAAUAGAUACACAAAUCAAUUUCACUUUAGAGUGUCCUUGAUGAAGCAGCAAAGAUUUUAAAUUUCAUUAAACUUUGACCUUUAAUUGUGUCUUUUUAGUACUCUGUAUCAUGAAAUUGACAACACAGACAAAUCACUUCUGCUGCAUGUUAAACCCCAAAGGUUAUCUUGAAGAAAAGUAUUUGUGUGAUUGAAUCGUGAGCUCAAGUAGAUACUUUUUUCAUGAAAUGUCACUUUUUCCUGAAUGAAUGAGUGACAGAACCAUGGUUAUUUAGACUUGGGUAUUUGGCAGAUAUUUUCUUGCAAGUGAAUGAUACGCG
rnacentral:lncRNA from 1 species